UCAGCUGUUCUAAUCCGGCAGCAUCCAAGAUCCCCUGACUGCCCUUGCUGAGGAAACAAAGACAAAAGAUUUGGACUCAACAAGAAGCACUAAAGCAUUGCAAAGAUCUUCUUCCAUCUCAUUUUAUCAAGAGAGUGCUCCAGAGAGGCUUUUCUCAUAGCUAUGAGAGUCAAUUUUGUACCCUUAAAACAUACCAAGGAUGAGUAUCAUCUGCUCAACAGGCCUGCAGACUUGGAUUUGCAGCAGAGAGAGAGAGACACGCACAGCAACAGAUUAAUCCAAAUGUUGGCAACGA